GACGAACGCUGGCGGCGUGCCUAAUACAUGCAAGUAGAACGCUGAAGGAGGAGCUUGCUUCUCUGGAUGAGUUGCGAACGGGUGAGUAACGCGUAGGUAACCUGCCUGGUAGCGGGGGAUAACUAUUGGAAACGAUAGCUAAUACCGCAUAAUAGUAGAUGUUGCAUGACAUUUGCCUAAAAGGUGCAAUUGCAUCACUACCAGAUGGACCUGCGUUGUAUUAGCUAGUUGGUGGGGUAACGGCUCACCAAGGCGACGAUACAUAGCCGACCUGAGAGGGGGCUCGGCCACACUGGGACUGAGACACGGCCCAGACUCCUACGGGAGGCAGCAGUAGGGAAUCUUCGGCAAUGGACGGAAGUCUGACCGAGCAACGCCGCGUGAGUGAAGAAGGUUUUCGGAUCGUAAAGCUCUGUUGUAAGAGAAGAACGAGUGUGAGAGUGGAAAGUUCACACUGUGACGGUAUCUUACCAGAAAGGGACGGCUAACUACGUG
rnacentral:rRNA from 1 species